GAUGAACGCUGGCGGCGUGCCUAAUACAUGCAAGUCGAGCGAACGGACGAGAAGCUUGCUUCUCUGAUGUUAGCGGCGGACGGGUGAGUAACACGUGGAUAACCUACCUAUAAGACUGGGAUAACUUCGGGAAACCGGAGCUAAUACCGGAUAAUAUUUUGAACCGCAUGGUUCAAAAGUGUAAGACGGUCUUGCUGUCACUUAUAGAUGGAUCCGCGCUGCAUUAGCUAGUUGGUAAGGUAACGGCUUACCAAGGCAACGAUGCAUAGCCGACCUGAGAGGGUGAUCGGCCACACGGGAACUGAGACACGGUCCAGACUCCUACGGGAGGCAGCAGUAGGGAAUCUUCCGCAAUGGGCGAAAGCCUGACGGAGCAACGCCGCGUGAGUGAUGAAGGUCUUCGGAUCGUAAAACUCUGUUAUUAGGGAAGAACAUAUGUGUAAGUAACUGUGCACAUCUUGACGGUACCUAAUCAGAAAGCCACGGCUAACUACGUG
rnacentral:rRNA from 1 species